UUUGCGGAGAGUUUGAUCCUGGCUCAGGAUGAACGCUGGCGGCGUGCCUAACACAUGCAAGUCGAACGAACUCGAUUCUUCGGAUGAAGAGUUAGUGGCGCACGGGUGAGUAACACGUAGGUGACCUACCCCAGAGUGGGGGACAACUUCUCGAAAGAGGAGCUAAUACCCCAUAUGCUCAGUCAUUCGGUUGAUUGAGUAAAGUUCCGGCGCUCUGGGAGGGGCCUGCGUCCGAUUAGCUAGUUGGUGGGGUAAUGGCCUACCAAGGCGAUGAUCGGUAGCUGGUCUGAGAGGACGAUCAGCCACACUGGCACUGACACACGGGCCAGACUCCUACGGGAGGCAGCAGUGAGGAAUAUUGCGCAAUGGGCGAAAGCCUGACGCAGCGACGCCGCGUGGGGGAUGAAGGUUUUCGGAUUGUAAACCCCUUUUAUGAGGAAAGAUAGGGCAGGUAACUGCCUAGACGGUACCUCAAGAAAAAGCCACGGUUAACUUCGU
rnacentral:rRNA from 1 species